AGAGUUUGAUCCUGGCUCAGGACGAACGCUGGCGGCGUGCUUAACACAUGCAAGUCGAACGGAAAGGUCUCUUCGGAGAUACUCGAGUGGCGAACGGGUGAGUAACACGUGGGUGAUCUGCCCUGCACUUCGGGAUAAGCCUGGGAAACUGGGUCUAAUACCGGAUAGGACCACGGGAUGCAUGUCUUGUGGUGGAAAGCGCUUUAGCGGUGUGGGAUGAGCCCGCGGCCUAUCAGCUUGUUGGUGGGGUGACGGCCUACCAAGGCGACGACGGGUAGCCGGCCUGAGAGGGUGUCCGGCCACACUGGGACUGAGAUACGGCCCAGACUCCUACGGGAGGCAGCAGUGGGGAAUAUUGCACAAUGGGCGCAAGCCUGAUGCAGCGACGCCGCGUGGGGGAUGACGGCCUUCGGGUUGUAAACCUCUUUCACCAUCGACGAAGGUCCGGGUUCUCUCGGAUUGACGGUAGGUGGAGAAGAAGCACCGGCCAACUACGUGCCAGCAGCCGCGGUAAUACGUAGGGUGCGAGCGUUGUCCGGAAUUACUGGGCGUAAAGAGCUCGUAGGUGGUUUGUCGCGUUGUUCGUGAAAUCUCACGGCUUAACUGUGAGCGUGCGGGCGAUACGGGCAGACUAGAGUACUGCAGGGGAGACUGGAAUUCCUGGUGUAGCGGUGGAAUGCGCAGAUAUCAGGAGGAACACCGGUGGCGAAGGCGGGUCUCUGGGCAGUAACUGACGCUGAGGAGCGAAAGCGUGGGGAGCGAACAGGAUUAGAUACCCUGGUAGUCCACGCCGUAAACGGUGGGUACUAGGUGUGGGUUUCCUUCCUUGGGAUCCGUGCCGUAGCUAACGCAUUAAGUACCCCGCCUGGGGAGUACGGCCGCAAGGCUAAAACUCAAAGGAAUUGACGGGGGCCCGCACAAGCGGCGGAGCAUGUGGAUUAAUUCGAUGCAACGCGAAGAACCU
rnacentral:rRNA from 1 species